rnacentral:rRNA from 1 species
GAACGCUAAUACCGCAUACGUCCUACGGGAGAAAGCAGGGGACCUUCGGGCCUUGCGCUAUCAGAUGAGCCUAGGUCGGAUUAGCUAGUUGGUGAGGUAAUGGCUCACCAAGGCGACGAUCCGUAACUGGUCUGAGAGGAUGAUCAGUCACACUGGAACUGAGACACGGUCCAGACUCCUACGGGAGGCAGCAGUGGGGAAUAUUGGACAAUGGGCGAAAGCCUGAUCCAGCCAUGCCGCGUGUGUGAAGAAGGUCUUCGGAUUGUAAAGCACUUUAAGUUGGGAGGAAGGGUUGUAGAUUAAUACUCUGCAAUUUUGACGUUACCGACAGAAUAAGCACCGGCUAACUCUGUGCCAGCAGCCGCGGUAAUACAGAGGGUGCAAGCGUUAAUCGGAAUUACUGGGCGUAAAGCGCGCGUAGGUGGUUUGUUAAGUUGGAUGUGAAAUCCCCGGGCUCAACCUGGGAACUGCAUCCAAAACUGGCAAGCUAGAGUAUGGUAGAGGGUGGUGGAAUUUCCUGUGUAGCGGUGAAAUGCGUAGAUAUAGGAAGGAACACCAGUGGCGAAGGCGACCACCUGGACUGAUACUGACACUGAGGUG